AACAAUUGCCUAUACGACGAGGCUCCGUCCGAAAGGGGUGCCCUUUUCAGGCUUCAAGUACGUAUAUAACAGGGAAGGGAUUUCACAAGUUUAGUUAUAUGAAAGGUAAGGCAACUCUGCCAUUUAGUUACUUUCAAGAGUCUUAAUUUAAAAUAUUUUGAACUGACGCACCUAAUAUGGCGUAUCAUUUCAUUUAUUAGGCACUACAUGAAAAUGACAAGAAGGCUUCCUUUUUUGACGACGUAUUCAUAGUACGUGCCAGUUACGAAAGUAUCAGCGUGAAGUGGGUACGUUUUUUCUGUUAAAGAUAUACGCAAGGGAUAUGUAUACCUUUUCAGUCAAAAUGGACCUCGCGGCGUAGUUUAUUCGUGUAAAACUUUGUAGACUACCCCCUCCCUCCGGGGAGGGGAGUGCAGCAUAACACGGAGGGGAAAUGUUAAAGCAAGCGACUAUGAUCUGUCUCUUGGUUAAAGGUAACCAUAAAAAAAUUCAUUCACUUCAUUACUAGCUCGAUACCGUACUGUACGGGUCCGCAAAUGAUGGACGAAUAUUCCUUUGUUCAUUUCUGUAUGGACUUGUUUCGCUCUGUCCCGCCGUAUCAGAUCGAUAGACCCCAGGGAUAGACCUCGGACAUUUUCGUAAGUUUUGGGUGGAGAAAAAACUGAGAAAAUGUUGUUAGAUGGAGCCCGUUUCUGUGGAAAAAUGUGCAUGUAAUCAAAACAAAUUCGCGCGCUUUUUUCACAAUUUGCAUUUGACCGAUUGUAACACUUUUUAUGCAAAUUAAUUUAUUCAUGACAACUUGCACGUGACUAGCUUUCCUUCGUCAAACCACGUUUCGCUGGAAAACGUCGCCGAAAUGGAGUGGGGAAAGCGUUUUUUGCUUCACUACACACACAGUUGGAAAGUUGGAACGACUUGAAUAGACUCGUAGUUUGUGAGAGAAACGCUGUUAACAGUUUGGAAGACAACCUUUAGUUUGAGGGUAGUUUGACAAGCAAAUGGCUUUCCUCGAACGCAAGGAGUUUGCAGCAAGCAAAUUCGUGAAGCUUCUGGAGUGUUUCACCAGUGGUUACUUGAUCAACUCACCAAGGACUGGAAAAGAACUACAUGUAGCCAGUAGGUGUAGUUGACUGCAAUGAUGAUAGAAUAACUCACAAAGUAUUGGAAAAGAGAAAUGGCCUCUUUAUAGCAAUUGGCUCAAAGCCAUUGACCUGAACCAGAGGAGUUCACGUUACGAGUAAAACAAAGAAAUGUUGAAAUAAAAAGUCUUGAAUAGUCUAAGUUCUGAUCUCGUUUGGAGCAGUGUUUCCUUAACUCGUCAGCUCGUCGCGAAAAACUUCGAAGAAAAAACAAAGUCUUUUGGCGGGAAAAAGUUCGCGCUUUUAAAAGGGACCAAGAAACAAAGUCGAAAAAAAAAAACUAAGUCUUUUGGCAGGAAAAAGUUCGCGCUUUUUAAAGGAGCCAAGAGAAAAAGUCGAAAAAACAAAACUAAGUCUUUUGGUGGGAAAAAGUUUGCGCUUUUAAAAGGG